UACGUAGGUGACGAGCGUUAUUCGGAAUUACUGGGCGUAAAGCGCACGCAGGCGGUUGGACAAGUCUGGCGUGAAAUCUCCUGGCUUAACUGGGAGCGGUCGCUGGAAACUGUCGAGCUUGAGGCGAUGAGAGGGGUGCAGAAUUCCCGGUGUAGUGGUGGAAUGCGUAGAGAUCGGGAGGAAUACCAGCGGCGAAGGCGGCCUUCUGGACGGUGACUGACGCUGAGACGCGAAAGCGUGGGGAGCAAACAGG
rnacentral:rRNA from 1 species